CGCUGACUGUACUUCACAACGGAUCGUCCGGCACGUACCUGCCGGUGAAGGGAAUACCCA
rfam:Dermabacter sp. HFH0086 genomic scaffold acArI-supercont-complete, whole genome shotgun sequence.